UACGAAGGGGGCUAGCGUUGCUCGGAAUCACUGGGCGUAAAGCGCACGUAGGCGGCUUUCUAAGUCAGGGGUGAAAUCCUGGAGCUCAACUCCAGAACUGCCUUUGAUACUGGAGAGCUUGAGUCCGGGAGAGGUGAGUGGAACUGCGAGUGUAGAGGUGAAAUUCGUAGAUAUUCGCAAGAACACCAGUGGCGAAGGCGGCUCACUGGCCCGAUACUGACGCUGAGGCGCGAAAGCGUGGGGAGCAAACAGGG
rnacentral:rRNA from 1 species